GCGGCAGGCCUAACACAUGCAAGUCGAGCGGUAGCACAGAGAGCUUGCUCUCGGGUGACGAGCGGCGGACGGGUGAGUAAUGUCUGGGAAACUGCCUGAUGGAGGGGGAUAACUACUGGAAACGGUAGCUAAUACCGCAUAAUGUCGCAAGACCAAAGUGGGGGACCUUCGGGCCUCAUGCCAUCAGAUGUGCCCAGAUGGGAUUAGCUAGUAGGUGGGGUAACGGCUCACCUAGGCGACGAUCCCUAGCUGGUCUGAGAGGAUGACCAGCCACACUGGAACUGAGACACGGUCCAGACUCCUACGGGAGGCAGCAGUGGGGAAUAUUGCACAAUGGGCGCAAGCCUGAUGCAGCCAUGCCGCGUGUGUGAAGAAGGCCUUCGGGUUGUAAAGCACUUUCAGCGGGGAGGAAGGCGAUAAGGUUAAUAACCUUGUCGAUUGACGUUACCCGCAGAAGAAGCACCGGCUAACUCCGUGCCAGCAGCCGCGGUAAUACGGAGGGUGCAAGCGUUAAUCGGAAUUACUGGGCGUAAAGCGCACGCAGGCGGUCUGUCAAGUCGGAUGUGAAAUCCCCGGGCUUAACCUGGGAACUGCAUUCGAAACUGGCAGGCUAGAGUCUUGUAGAGGGGGGUAGAAUUCCAGGUGUAGCGGUGAAAUGCGUAGAGAUCUGGAGGAAUACCGGUGGCGAAGGCGGCCCCCUGGACAAAGACUGACGCUCAGGUGCGAAAGCGUGGGGAGCAAACAGGAUUAGAUACCCUGGUAGUCCACGCCGUAAACGAUGUCGAUUUGGAGGUUGUGCCCUUGAGGCGUGGCUUCCGGAGCUAACGCGUUAAAUCGACCGCCUGGGGAGUACGGCCGCAAGGUUAAAACUCAAAUGAAUUGACGGGGGCCCGCACAAGCGGUGGAGCAUGUGGUUUAAUUCGAUGCAACGCGAAGAACCUUACCUGGUCUUGACAUCCACAGAACUUUCCAGAGAUGGAUUGGUGCCUUCGGGAACUGUGAGACAGGUGCUGCAUGGCUGUCGUCAGCCCGUGUUGUGAAAUGUUGGGUUAAGUCCCGCAACGAGCGCAACCCUUAUCCUUUGUUGCCAGCGGUUAGGCCGGGAACUCAAAGGAGACUGCCAGUGAUAAACUGGAGGAAGGUGGGGAUGACGUCAAGUCAUCAUGGCCCUUACGACCAGGGCUACACACGUGCUACAAUGGCAUAUACAAAGAGAAGCGACCUCGCGAGAGCAAGCGGACCUCAUAAAGUAUGUCGUAGUCCGGAUUGGAGUCUGCAACUCGACUCCAUGAAGUCGGAAUCGCUAGUAAUCGUAGAUCAGAAUGCUACGGUGAAUACGUUCCCGGGCCUUGUACACACCGCCCGUCACACCAUGGGAGUGGGUUGCAAAAGAAGUAGGUAGCUUAACCUUCGGGAGGGCGCUUACCACUUUGUGAUUCAUGACUGGGGUGAAGUCGUA
rnacentral:rRNA from 1 species